GACGAACGCUGGCGGCGUGCCUAAUACAUGCAAGUGGGACGCAAGGGAACACACUGUGCUUGCACACCGUGUUUUCUUGAGUCGCGAACGGGUGAGUAACGCGUAGGUAACCUGCCUAUUAGCGGGGGAUAACUAUUGGAAACGAUAGCUAAUACCGCAUAAUAUUAAUUAUUGCAUGAUAAUUGAUUGAAAGAUGCAAGCGCAUCACUAGUAGAUGGACCUGCGUUGUAUUAGCUAGUUGGUAAGGUAAGAGCUUACCAAGGCGACGAUACAUAGCCGACCUGAGAGGGUGAUCGGCCACACUGGGACUGAGACACGGCCCAGACUCCUACGGGAGGCAGCAGUAGGGAAUCUUCGGCAAUGGACGAAAGUCUGACCGAGCAACGCCGCGUGAGUGAAGAAGGUUUUCGGAUCGUAAAGCUCUGUUGUAAGUCAAGAACGUGUGGA
rnacentral:rRNA from 1 species